rnacentral:tRNA from 1 species
UCCCUGGUGGCCUGACAGUUAAGGACUCAGCACUGUCACUGCUGUGGCACUGGUUCAAUCCCUGGCCUGGGAA